ACGGAGGGUGCAAGCGUUAUUCGGAAUUACUGGGCGUAAAGCGCGCGUAGGCGGCUUUGUAAGUCUGAUGUGAAAGCCCCGGGCUUAACCCGGGAACUGCCUUUGAUACUGCCAGUCUUGAGUACGGAAGAGGUAGGUGGAAUUCCCGGUGUAGAGGUGAAAUGCGUAGAGAUGGGGAAGAAUACCAGUGGCGAAGGCAGCCAACUGGACGGUUACUGACGCUGAGGCGCGAAAGCGUGGGGAGCAAACAG
rnacentral:rRNA from 1 species